UCAGGACGAACGCUGGCGGCGUGCCUAAUACAUGCAAGUCGAGCGAAUCGAUGGGAGCUUGCUCCCUGAGAUUAGCGGCGGACGGGUGAGUAACACGUGGGCAACCUGCCUAUAAGACUGGGAUAACUUCGGGAAACCGGAGCUAAUACCGGAUACGUUCUUUUCUCGCAUGAGAGAAGAUGGAAAGACGGUUUACGCUGUCACUUAUAGAUGGGCCCGCGGCGCAUUAGCUAGUUGGUGAGGUAAUGGCUCACCAAGGCGACGAUGCGUAGCCGACCUGAGAGGGUGAUCGGCCACACUGGGACUGAGACACGGCCCAGACUCCUACGGGAGGCAGCAGUAGGGAAUCUUCCGCAAUGGACGAAAGUCUGACGGAGCAACGCCGCGUGAACGAAGAAGGCCUUCGGGUCGUAAAGUUCUGUUGUUAGGGAAGAACAAGUACCAGAGUAACUGANNNUANCUGGUACCUUGACGGUACCUAACCAGAAAGCCACGGCUAACUACGUGCCAG
rnacentral:rRNA from 2 species